AGAACGAACGCUGGCGGCAGGCCUCAAACAUGCAAGUCUAGGGGGUGUAGCAAUACAUCACCGGCGGACGGGUGCGUAACACGUGGGAAUAUACCUUUUGGUUCGGAACAACGCAGGGAAACUUGCGCUAAUACCGAAUGUGCCCUUACGGGGAAAGAUUUAUCGCCAAAGGAUUAGCCCGCGUAGGAUUAGCUAGUUGGUGAGGUAAUGGCUCACCAAGGCUCCGAUCCUUAGCUGCUCUGAGAGGAAGAUCAGCCACACUGGGACUGAGACACGGCCCAGACUCCUACGGGAGGCAGCAGUUGGGAAUCUUGGACAAUGGGGGAAACCCUGAUCCAGCCAUGCCGCGUGAGUGAUGAAGGCCUUCGGGUUGUAAAACUCUUUCGACGGGGACAUAAUGACGGUACCGUAGAAGAAGCUCCGGCUAACUUCGCGCCAGCAGCCGC
rnacentral:rRNA from 1 species